UACGGAGGGGGCUAGCGUUGUUCGGAAUUACUGGGCGUAAAGCGCACGUAGGCGGAUCAGAAAGUAAGGGGUGAAAUCCCAGGGCUCAACCCUGGAACUGCCUCUUAAACUCCUGGUCUUGAGUUCGAGAGAGGUGAGUGGAAUUCCAAGUGUAGAGGUGAAAUUCGUAGAUAUUUGGAGGAUCACCAGUGGCGAAGGCGGCUCACUGGCUCGAUACUGACGCUGAGGUGCGAAAGUGUGGGGAGCAAACAGG
rnacentral:rRNA from 1 species